rnacentral:rRNA from 1 species
AUACGGAGGGUGCAAGCGUUAUCCGGAAUCAUUGGGUUUAAAGGGUCCGCAGGCGGAUUAAUAAGUCAGUGGUGAAAUCCUCUCGCUCAACGAGAGAACUGCCAUUGAAACUGUUAGUCUUGAAUUCGGUCGAAGUAGGCGGAAUGUGUCAUGUAGCGGUGAAAUGCAUAGAUAUGACACAGAACACCGAUAGCGAAGGCAGCUUACUAGACCUGGAUUUACGCUCAUGGACGAAAGCGUGGGGAGCGAACAGGAUUAGAAACCCCGGUAGUCC